rnacentral:rRNA from 1 species
AGUGAACGCUGGCGGUAGGCCUAACACAUGCAAGUCGAACUGCAGCACAGUAAGGGCUUGCGCUUACGGGGUGCGAGUUGCGGACGUGUGAGGAAUACAUCGGAAUCUACUUUUUCGUGGGUGAUAACGUAGGGAAACUUACUCUAAUACCGCAUACGGCCUACGGGUGAAAUCUGUGCAGCUUCAGACCUUUCCCUAUUGAAUGAUCCGAUGUCGGAUUAGCUAGUUGGCGGGGUAAAGGCCCACCAAGGCGACGAUACGUAGCUGGACUGAGAGGAUGAUCAGCCACACUGGAACUGAGAAACGGUACAGACUCCCACGGGAGGCAGCAGUGGGGAAUAGUGGACCAUGGGCGCAAGACUGAUCCAGACAUACCGCGUGGGUGAAGAAGGCCUUCGGGUUGUAAAGCCAUUUUGUUGGGAAAGAAAAGCAGCAGGUUAAUACCCCGAUGUUAUGACGGUACCAAAAGAAUAAGCACCGGCUAACUUCGUG